rnacentral:rRNA from 1 species
AACGAACGCUGGCGGCAUGCCUAACACAUGCAAGUCGAACGGAUCCUUCGGGAUUAGUGGCGCACGGGUGCGUAACGCGUGGGAAUCUGCCCUGGGGUACGGAAUAACUCAGCGAAAGUUGUGCUAAUACCGUAUGAUGUCUUCGGACCAAAGAUUUAUCGCCCUGGGAUGAGCCCGCGUAGGAUUAGCUAGUUGGUGAGGUAAAGGCUCACCAAGGCGACGAUCCUUAGCUGGCCUGAGAGGAUGAUCAGCCACACUGGGACUGAGACACGGCCCAGACUCCUACGGGAGGCAGCAGUGGGGAAUAUUGGACAAUGGGCGCAAGCCUGAUCCAGCAAUGCCGCGUGAGUGAUGAAGGCCUUAGGGUUGUAAAGCUCUUUUACCCGGGAAGAUAAUGACUGUACCGGGAGAAUAAGCCCCGGCUAACUCCGUGCCAGCCGCCGCCGUAA